rnacentral:tRNA from 1 species
GCGAGUGUAGCUCAGUAGGAUAGAGCAAGGCACUCCUAACGCCUAGGUCACAGGUUCGAAUCCUGUCACUCGCGCCA